GGUGAGUUCACAUCCCCUGGUUUAAUACCAGUAAGUCAGGCCUACUCCGUCCUGGUGAGUUCACAUCCCCUGGUUUAAUACCAGUAAGUCAGGUCUACUCCAACCUGGUGAGUUCACAUCCCCUGGUUUAAUACCAGUAAGUCAGGCCUACUCCGUCCUGGGAGACCCACACACUGAAGGACAGACUGAUGGAGUGUGACAGAAGAGAGCGGCUACAGCAGGAAGCAUGACAGCGAUGGCAUCCUAUUUGAUCCUGACAACGCUUUUAUGUUGAAAAUAUUUAACAACAACCACACGCCACACUACAAUGAAUGUUUGCGUGGAAUUCUGACAAUAGUUUAAAGGCUAAAGAAACUAAAGAAAAGCAACAGCAUAUUGUUUGACAAGAUCCUGCUGCGUACGGCAAGCUUUACUGUUUCCACUGCUUGCUAGCUAACUUUUAUAAGACAGUCUGGAAACCUUAUAUAUAUAUAUAUAUAUAUUGCUUCAAGUGUCUAAUAUAUACUUGCAUGUUAUUCAACAUGUCUUAUAUUUCUUGGGGUCAGCUAUUUUGUUUAAAUAUAUUGAAUCACUGAACUAUUUUUUUAAAUGCAUAUUUAGGUGUUUUUAUACCACAAUUUUCAAUAAAGUUAAAGUCACGCCAGUGAAGUAUGUGGUUCAACAGUUCACAUUUCAAACUAAUUUGCUCUGCUUCAUCUCAUAUAUUUUUAACAUUGGAUAACAUAUCAGAACACAUUUCCAUUGACCACCACCAAACAGAGUCUGCUAAUGUGGCACAACACUGAAUGCUGCUGGGUGCAGGCAUAGCAGAGGGCUGGUGAGCGUACAGGUUGUGAAGGCCAGUUGGCAGGCAAAGCAGGAACAGAGUCUGUUAAUAUAUUUACAUUCAUCAGCCAAGGGCACACAUAAGCUACUGGAGUGGAAAAGAUUUGCAAGUGCGGUCCACACCAUCUGUUUCAGAAGGCAAACCUGCAUUUAAACAUCCUCACUCACGUUGAAUCCAUUUAUCACCCAUUCAGAAACUUACAGUAUGGUUUGGAAACAGGAGUUUGACGGUUUCUGCAGCUGCCCGUAAAGUGCUCAAUUUUGUGGGAAAAUCCAGAAGCACGAAUGUAAUGACACUAUUUAGACCUUACUGAAGCCAUUGUGUGCGUGUUUCACAUCCCUUUUCUAUUUAGUGCUUUGAGUUGAAGAAGCUCAUUUUUGGGAAGUCAAGAUGGCAGGAGCACAUUUAAAUGAAAAACACCCCGAAAUCGCUUUAGAUACCAAAUCCAUAUCUCUUUACUUGAUAAGCGUUCAAACCGGGAGCAUUUGAGGGGAAUGGGAGCCUUUGAUGGUGGCAAAGGAAGCACAGCAAUCUAUAUAGAAAGGGAUGACUCAUACCUCACUUAUUCAACCAUCAAAGCCAUCUAACCAUGACGAACCAUAGUGCCGUUUCAUGGAUUUUAAGGCUCUGAUGCUCAAAGGGAUAAUACUGCCUUUCAUUCAUACCCUGGAUUCUCCCUGAAGCACGUAAUUGCUGCUAAAAUUAUUUCUUUAUUUCACCGCCUCUCCUUUCAUACCAAGAACAGAAUUGGAUUUUGGACAAUUUGGUAAAUGGCCAAAAAGUAUGUUUUUUUUCCAGCCAAGGAUCCGGGACAAUUGUAUACAUGUGCCGAUUAAAAAAUGUACUGACCCUCAUUAAUAAACAAUGGAGUUUCAAACUU
ensembl:lncRNA